rnacentral:rRNA from 1 species
AGUUUUGAGCUAAAUAUAUUAUAAUAUUAGUUAUUUAUAAAGGUGUUGUAAAACCUUAUUAAAAAUUAUAUUUAGGGGUGAUAGGCCUUUCAAAAACUAAGAUAUCUUGAAUCUAAUUAAAAGUAUGUAGUACAUUCGACACAACUAUUAAGUGAUUAGGCUUUAUAGAAUUAUUAACUUAUAAAGAUUUUAUUUACUAUAAUUUAAUAAUUAAGUAUAUAAAUAUAUUAAUAUAUAUAUAUUAUAAUUUAUAAAGAGUAAUUAGAUAAAUUAAAGUUCAUAAAUUUUGUAAUAAUGUUAAUAUUAGUAUUAAGUUUAUAUUUAUAUGAUGAACUCGGCAAAAAUGCUUCUCAACUGUUUAUCAAAAACAUAACUAUGUGAAUUAAUACAUAGCGGUUUCUGCUCAA